AACGAACGCUGGCGGCAUGCCUAACACAUGCAAGUCGAACGAGAUCUUCGGGUCUAGUGGCGCAAGGGUGCGUAACGCGUGGGAAUCUGCCCUUUGGUUCGGAAUAACAGUUGGACACGACUGCUAAUACCGGAUGAUGACGAAAGUCCAAAGAUUUAUCGCCAGAGGAUGAGCCCGCGUAGGAUUAGCUAGUUGGUGUGGUAGAGGCGCACCAAGGCGACGAUCCUUAGCUGGUCUGAGAGGAGGAUCAGCCACACUGGGACUGAGACACGGCCCAGACUCCUACGGGAGGCAGCAGUGGGGAAUAUUGGACAAUGGGCGAAAGCCUGAUCCAGCAAUGCCGCGUGAGUGAUGAAGGCCUUAGGGCUGUAAAGCUCUUUUACCCGGGAUGAUAAUGACAGUACCGGGAGAAUAAGCUCCGGCUAACUCCGUGCCAGCCGCCGCGGUAA
rnacentral:rRNA from 1 species